rnacentral:rRNA from 1 species
CGAGUAGGCGGUCGGCCAAGUGGAAUGUGAAAGCCCGGGGCUCAACCCCGGAACUGCAUUCCAAACUUGCGGACUAGAGGACAGGAGGGGGAAGUGGAACUCCAGGUGGAGCGGUGAAAUGCGUAGAUAUCUGGAGGAACACCGGUGGCGAAAGCGACUUCCUGGCCUGUCCCUGACGCUGAGGCGCGAAAGCGUGGGUAGCAAACAGGAUUAGAUACCCUGGUAUCC